rnacentral:rRNA from 1 species
GUCUACGGCCAUACCACCCUGAACGCGCCCGAUCUUGUCUGAUCUCGGAAGCUAAGCAGGGUCGGGCCUGGUUGGUACUUGGAUGGGAGUAUUUUUUUUUUUUUAUACU